rnacentral:tRNA from 1 species
GGGGAUUUAGCUCAGUGGUAGAGCGUUUGCCUAGGAAGCGCAAGGCCCUGGGUUCAGUCCCCAGCUCCCA